AUGCAGCGGCACCUAAUGGUGACAGUUGUUAAAGCGGGGGAUCGCAAGACCUCGCGUCUGAAGAGGAGCCUGCGGCGGAUUAGCUAGUUGGUAAGGUAACGGCUUACCAAGGCGAUGAUCCGUAGCCGGCCUGAGAGGGCGGUCGGCCACACUGACACUGACAUACGGGUCAGACUCCUACGGGAGGCAGCAGUCGGGAAUUUUGGGCAAUGGGCGAAAGCCUGACCCAGCAACGCCGCGUGAAGGAUGAAAUCCCUCGGGAUGUAAACUUCGCAAGAACAGGAAGAAUAAGUAAGGGUUAAUAUCUCUUACGAUGACGGUACUGUUUGUAAGCUCCGGCUAACUCCGUGCCAGCAGCCGCGGUAAUACGGGGGGAGCAAGCGUUGUUCGGAUUUACUGGGCGUAAAGGGCGCGUAGGCGGCCACCGCAAGUCGACUGUGAAAUCUCCGGGCUUAACCCGGAACGGUCAGCCGAUACUGCGGGGCUAGAGUGCAGAAGGGGCAACUGGAAUUCUCGGUGUAGCGGUGAAAUGCGUAGAUAUCGAGAGGAACACCUGCGGCGAAGGCGGGUUGCUGGGCUGACACUGACGCUGAGGCGCG
rnacentral:rRNA from 1 species